rnacentral:rRNA from 1 species
GCCAGUAGUCAUAUGCUUGUCUCAAAGAUUAAGCCAUGCAAGUGUAAGUAUAAUUGUUUUACGGUGAAACUGCGAAUGGCUCAUUAAAUCAGUUAUAGUUUAUUUGAUGCUAUAGGCCGCAAGGUCACUACAUGGAUAUCUGUAGUAACAUAGAGCUAAUACAUGCAAUAUAGUCUGACUUUUGGGAAGGACUAGCACUUAUUAGAUAUUAAACCAGUCCCAGCAAUGGGUUUUUUGGUGAUUCAUAGUAACUGAACAAAUCACAGGGUCUUGUACCGGUGAUGUUUCAUUCAAAUUUCUGCCCUAUCAACUAGAUGGUAGUAUAUAGGACUACCAUGGUUGUAACGGUAACGGAGGAUUAGGGUUUGAUUCCGGAGAAGGAGCAUGAGAAACGGCUACUA